rnacentral:lncRNA from 1 species
AAAAAAUGGAAAAAAAUGGGGCAAAUGAACAAGCAUUAACAAACAAAGAAAAAACCCCACCCACAAUACUGCGAAUGUGAAAGUCUGUCUAGUCCUGAAAAGUCAUCGUGCAACCAGAUCUGACAAAUAGGACAGAAUCCUGCAACAUAACCUCUGUAUAGAUAUUGAUGGAUCCCACAUGUUGUGGAAAGCAGUGAUCGUUUAAGCUAAUUCUACACAUCAGUGCCCAUGAUCUGGGAGAAAACAGAAAGAACAAGCAAGCUUUCAUAACUUCCCUUGAUUCAGCUCAAACUGGGGCUUUCCCCUCACUGAGGAGAGGCACUGAGCAUUGCCAGCAAGGUUGAGGUCGGAGCACACCAAAUUUGAAUGCUCCUGAAUGGCUACAAAUCAUGUAUUUAAAGAGCAUCUUGAGGUGUAGAAGCUGCGGAUAUGCAGUUCAGUCUGCGAGCCACCAGGCACCAAAGAUAUGCUGCCCAGUUAAAUCAGAUUUCUUUACAGUUGUGAUCCAAGCCAUGAAGUGGAAACUCAAAAUGUGAGUUGGAAUUUGACAUAGGUUUUCCAUUGUUUGGAACAGUCAGUCAGAAGAGUGAACACUCACUUGUGAGGGAAAGGGAAACAGAGUGUUCCUACAGCAGAUAAAGCAGAGAGGCAUAAAAAUUCCUCAGCCUGGCCUGCAGCUCAACUAAAGAAAAUAGAUGCAGUGCUAGAUACUUGGAAAUUUUCAAGGUACACAGGAUUAAAGGGAACACCUGAGUUCCACAUCUGUUUCUUUUCAAAUGGAAAAUGAAGUGGAGAAAGGUACCUUUUCCUCUGGACUUGCUGACUGCACAGCCUGGCUGAAUGCCCAUCAUACUGCCUUAUCUUGCUCUUGUGUCGGAGUUCAGGCGCUAACAGGUGGUACCAGAUCGAUGCUGAGCAGUACUUCUGGGGAGGUGACACUCCGCCCUAGUACUUUGCUUACUGAUUUUCAGUUUCUCACAUGAAGCAGAAGCUAAUCAUGAUGUCUCAUCAUCAAAGUUAUUUCUCACUGGACUACUCAGAGGUGUUGUUGUCAAACCUUCCCAGCUACAUUGGUUAAUCCAUUCCAAGUGCCAGUAGUUAUCCUGAGCUCCAUGCUGACUGCUAUGACAUGAAACUUCAGAAUCUGUGCACCUCUGAUGUCAUCAGGAGCCAUUGAUGUCAGAGCGGCUUCUGCGCAGCGUGAAGGUCCGUGUCAACUCAUCACAUUACCUCUGCAUGAAAGCACAGAAUUAGAAUCAGAUGCCACUUCAACAUCCCUUUUUGUUUCUAACUGAGAAGACCCCUUGAUGUUUGAAUGAAAUAUGUAAUAAAAGGAAACCACAAAUAGCCAAGCCAUGUUUCAAAACUGAAGAGACUCUACUUGUUCCUUUAAACUAGAAGAAAAAUGUAACUUCCUAACACUGAUUGAUUUUGGGGAUCCAUCUGCAGCAGAACCAGAAUGCUUCUCUACUUCCCCACACCACUCAUCAGCUCUGCUUAUGUUGGCUAAACGUGUGAGAGAAAAUUGAAGACGUAACAAAGUUCCUACAUGCCAGUUUCCAGUGGAAGUAUGACUGUAAGCACGUGUACUUCUACCCAAACAUCAGGAUGUGCAAACUGCAGGAAGAUGCUAGGCUGGGUGUGAGUCUUUUAUUUCCUCUCACAUAAAUGUUUAGACCAAGUCCUAGUUCAGCUUUAGAAAGUGCUAAAUGUAGUAAUUGUUUUUUUAUAUACUCUUUAUGGUAUUUCUGUUUAGUUUAAGCCAUAAAUUUGAAUACAGAAAGCAUUAAAAAGAUAGUAGAGGAGUGAUAGCUUCUUUAUCCCUAGUUCCAAGCUCUGAGCAAGGUAGUGUUGGCUGUAGUUUUUAUUUGGAGGGAAGAGAAGCAACCUUUCUCAUAAACCUUUCAUUAGUUGAACACAGAGGUGACCAAGUUUCCACAUCAGAGUGCAUGACAACCCUAAGAUUGGCUCAUGAAAUGGUGGGGUGAGCCCUAAAGAGACAGGAUUUUAUGGCAUGGGUUGAGAGCAUGGGAUAUGAGGUGCUGCUAAGUGGCAUGCUGUUUAAUUAAGCACAUCUCUUUCUGCAUGGAGGUUUACUAGGUGACACGUUCAUAUCCUGCCUUUUCUUAUUCCCUUUGAAGCAAGCAGCCCAGUACUGCUUCAUGUGGUUGAGAUGUUGUUUUUCUACCUGAAGAGAAAGAUGGAAUAAACUUCUGAAUUCUCAUAGUUGAGCUGUGAGCUCGAACUUGUCAGUGAUAGAUAUUCUUUCUUGCAUGUAGAGGGCAUUCUGCGUUAUUUCUCUAAAAACUGGAUCUUGCUAAGUUUUACUGAUUUGUUCUGGACCAAAAAGCUGUAAACCAGCUCAGUUUGGACUUGUAUUAGUUGGGAUAGGCAGACACAAUCUUUGGGUAGCUGUUCAUAGCUGUUUCUCAUUGAGCGUGAUAGCUUCCUUUGCAUAUUCAUGCUCACUCCUCAGUUUACUCUUCAUAUUCAGUUCUUUGAUCAGUCAUAUGCUAAGUUUUUAAAAUAUGCAUCUUUUUAAAAUAACCAACAGCUUACAUACCUGCUUAAUAUGUCACUUUAUUCAGAAAGUAAUAAGAAGAUGAAAGGAGGAAAGUGACUUUUGUGUAAAAAUCUCACUCCAGGUGUGAGUGGAGGGAAAAAAAAUAGUCCUACUUUAUUAUGUCUUAUCUUUGAAAUUAUGUAAGUAUUUUUCAGUCAACAAAUUAAUUUUCAGCUGGAAAAUCACAGCUAUGAGUCGGUUGGGUUUUCACUCAUCAUAUCAUACUAUUACAGCAAAAACUGGAGUUCAUAAUGAUAUUGUGGAAACUGCUGAUCAAAGGUUGUUUACAUGGACUGUGUUCACUGAUUUGCCCUGUUUUCUCAUACAGAUGUGCUCUAAUGACUAUUCUCUGCAAAACUGAUUUUUCAAAAAGAUUCUUUAAUCUGAUUACUCUGUAAUUGUUAGUUAUUCUUGAGUGUGAGUUUACGUACAUAUUUGCUUGAAUGUGUGUUUCACAUGAUUGUGAUGCAAAUAUGCCACAUAAGAAAGGUAUUUCAAGAACAAAGUUACUUUAUCCAAAAGGAAAUAGCAGUUACUGCGGUAACUAAUUGGCACCUUUUAAAAAAUAAUUUUAAAAAAUAGUUUUCAAAAUCUAAAAUGAGGAAUUGUAAUUCAUCCGUAGAUAAAUGUAGGUAUGAAUUUCCACCAUCAGACAUAGCUUUCAAGCUAUGCUUUCUUCAAUGUGACGUGGUCUUUAAUUAGUCAUUGAUAGCUAAUGCUAUUCAGGAACAGCCAGUCUCCCCAGCAGUCAAAUCAACAGCCAUUCAAAUACCACAGAGUCUGAAUAUUACAUACAUAUAUAUGUUUUUAUAUGAAGUGAGUCUAGGAAGAUAAAAGGCUUCCCAUGGAGAAAUAUAUGAAAUAUAUUUCAUAUUUCUGACCCUCUAUUAAAAUAUUGAGUUUGCAGUUGAAGUUUUACACUGUUGCUGCUGACAGCACAGAGAUUCUUCAAUUCUACCCUAAAAACUAAAUAACAUAUUUGGAUGAUGCAGUUAGGACUGUUUCAUCUUAUCUCUUCCCAAGGAAAAUAUACUAUCAGAGGCAUUUUUAGGUAGGUGCAUCCACAACUACAUCUAUUCUAACAAUUUCGUUGUAAAAAAAAAAUGUUGGGAAAAGGUGAAAAAUGCCUUUAACUGACACUACUAUAUUAAAAAAAAAAAAAAAGUUUCCAGUGUAUGCUUGUCUCCCAGAAAAUGUCAGUUCCUGCUCUUUUUGGCAGAAACAUUUUCUUAACGAAUUUGAUACGUAAAGGAAGUAUUUCUAUUAUACCACUCUGCAGUUCCUUUGUGUGUCUGGCCAGUCACACUGCCUAAUUGCCUAAGACUGCCAACUGCAAAAGUCCUCAGUCGGGUAUUCAGACUUCAUUCCUUCUCCCCUGCAGCACUUUGCCUCGGUAGUGCUUGGGGUACUGCGUUUCUGCAGUGAAAAAAUGUAGCUAUGAAGUUAUUGAUCAAGGGAACUGAGAAUUUGUGUAUAGAUCACCAUUUCACUCUUCACUUUGAAGAUGUAGGGCAACCCUUCAGAAGAAAAGAACAGUGUUUGAAGCACAGUAAUAGCUAAAGAAGUGUUCAGGUAAUGGUGAACUCUGUUGCCUUUUCACUUGAAGCUAAGUAUUCCUUGAAAUGCUAGAUUUCUAAUUCAACUGUACUAACUUGGUAUUUUCCUUGUUACGCUUUGUUAUCAGGCUUUUCUUGUGCUAAAGUAAAUCUGUGUGAAACUGAGAAAAAUGCCAUGCUUUUUAAAUCUGAAUGGAGCAGUGUGCCAAAGCAGCUCAGGAGAACCAAAACCCAGUUUUGUUCAGCUACAGCAAACUACAGCAGUUUUUGUCCAGCUCUGAUGGCCUAUAUGGGAACCACUAUUUUGGGUAACAAGCUUCCAGGAGGCAUUAACAGACUGAAUAUCUUUCUGGCAUGUACCUAGCAAGGAAGGGCAGAGGCAUUCAGUAGCUCUAGCCUUACCAGAAAAUACUGAUUGCAGACAGUUUACCCAGAUCUUAUUUGUCCUUCCAAAUGAUGAGAGAACUGUGACACGAUCUAUUUCUUCCUGUGGACAACUGCCACUGAGCACUGUGAAAUAAGCUCUGACCUACUGACUUCUUCCUAGAAGUAUUUAAAAUGGAAAUGCCUGUUUUAAAAUACUCUUGUAUAUUUAAUUAACAUAUUUUAUUUAUUUCCAUUCAGUAAUUAAACAGAUCAGUGUGGGGAAAUUUUCAAAUAACCAAGAAAUCUCUGAUGCAUGCUAUUUUCAAAGCAAAACCAAAGACAACCCAAACUAUCUUCCUGACUGUAUUUCUAGUUUUCUAUAGCGUUGAUAGUGCUUCUUGUAGUAUUCCCAUCACAGAGGAAUUGCACUUGUAAGUACAAGAGAAAUGUUUGGGGCUACAAGUUUUUAACUGUGGUUGUAGUUCCACUUGUUGGCUUUGAGAAAGAGGAAAAUACCAUUUUUCACCUUCACGUUUUUAGAGGGGAAGAAACUGUCAUGUGAAUACUGAUGGAUGUCAAAUAAGGUGAUGCUUUGUGUAACUACAUUCAGGAUAUUCUUUCAAAAUUCGUUUGUUGGUCUCCCUGUAG